GCUAAAACUGUAGUUUAACCUACAUACAAAAAUCCACCAUUUACAAAACAAAACAUUUGACUCACCUAGUAGAUGCGAUCGAACAUUACCACAACACAACUAUAGUACCGCAAGGGAACCACCAAUCAAGCAAAAAAAAGCAAAGAUUAAACCUCGUACCUUUUGCAUCAUGGUUUAGCAAGGACCUCAGGACAAAACGAACAACUAAAGCCCAAACCACCCGAAACCAGAUGAGCUACUUCAAAGCAGCCUUCUAGGGCCAAUCCUUCUCUGUUGCAAAAGAGUGGAAAGACUUUGAAGUAGAGGUGAAAUGCCUACCGAAUCUGGAGAUAGCUGGCUACCCAAAAAAGAAUCUAAGUUCACCUUUAGACCACAACCAACAUUAAAUAGUCACCUAAAGACAUUCAAUAGGGGUACAGCUCUAUUGAAACAGGAUACAACCUGACUUUGAGAAUAAACAAACCUUAAACCUACUAGUAGGCCCUAAAGCAGCCACCUAAAAAAAUAUCGUUAAAGAAUUACCAAAAAAAAUUCCAAACCAAAUCAAAUAUUCCAAAGACAACUAAGGGUAAGUCUAUUACUAUAGACGAACUUAUGCUAAAACUAAUAAUAAGAAAACUUCUCUAAGCACAACCAUUCGCAAGAAACAGAAAAACUACUUGCAGUCAACAGACCAAAAAAGGAACAACAUAACACCCUUCACAACCAUUCCACAAACUGUAAACCCGACACAGGUGUGCAAUAAAGAAAGAUAAAAAAUUACAAAAGGAACUCGGCAACCAAUGACUUCAACUGUUUACCAAAAACAUAACCUUUAGCCCUAAACCAGUAUUAAAGGCAAUGCCUGCCCAGUGAGAAUUUCUUCAACGGCCGCGGUACCCUAACCGUGCAAAGGUAGCGUAAUCAUUUGUCUAUUAAUUGUAGACCAGUAUGAAAGGCCACAUGAAAGUCAAACUGUCUCUUGUAAUUAAUCAAUUAAACUGAUCUCCCAGUACAAAAGCUGGAAUAUCCAUAUAAGACCAGAAGACCCUGUGAAGCUUAAACUAACUUAUUAAACCCACUAAUAACUACUUUCAGUUGGGGCGACUUUGGAACAAAACAAAACUUCCAAAUAAUAUGAAUAAUCCCUCAUACCAUAGGCCAACAAGCCACCACAAGACCCAGUAACACUGACAAUUGAACCAAGUUACUCCAGGGAUAACAGCGCCAUCUUCUUUAAGAGCCCAUAUCAAAAAGAAGGUUUACGACCUCGAUGUUGGAUCAGGACACCCAAAUGGUGCAGCCGCUAUUAAAGGUUCGUUUGUUCAACGAUUAACAGUCCUACGUGAUCUGAGUUCAGACCGGAGCAAUCCAGGUCAGUUUCUAUCUAUAAAAUGCCCUCUCUAGUACGAAAGGACCGAGACAGCAAAGCCAAUACCAAAAGCACGCUUUAACCAAAAAAAUAAACAAAUUCAAUACCCUAAAUUACUAAAACAAGCCAAGAAAAGGCUAAUUAAGGACAACUUAACCCCUUA
rnacentral:rRNA from 1 species